AUUGGAAGACAUUUUUUAUUUUAUUUCCCAAGACUGCAGGACUUCUGCGGUACGGACAUCUUGGACAUGGAACAGAUAAUGAGUAUAAUUUUAAGGACAGUUCUGUAAAAUUAGUGUAUGAAUCCCAGCCAUAUCCUCGGAUAAUUGUUUGUCUGGUGAAACAAUUGUCAAAGUGGUAUGUGGGACAAAUCACAAAAGUGUUUGUUUUUCUUAUUUUUUAUCUCAAUUAUUUAACCUUUUCUUUUAUCUAUUCAUUAUUACUUUUUGAAUGUUUAGUGACAGUGGAUAAGAAUGUUUUUGUCUACACAUGAUUAAUUCUUUAUUUAGUUCAGUAUCUUAACUCUAUAAUUCAAGUUAUAACUGUCGAUUAUCCAUCUGUGUAGCUUGGGAUUUGGUGAUUAUGAAAGGUUUGUGCAGAAUUUCAGAUUAGUUGUCAAUGUUUUGUAAAAUACAAAGAAAUCACAACAAUAUAUAUGAUGAUUCAAUUCAAAUUGAUUUUAUUUAUUUAUUUAUUUAUUUUGUUCUUCAUUUUUAUUCUGUUUUAGUUUACAAGUUUAUGAAUAUAUUCUUCAUUUAGUUUAUUUUUUUCAUAAAUACUAUUAUCACUUCUCAUUAGUAACAUUUAUCAUGUUUCAUGGCAAUAUAUUAGGACAACAGAGAGGAAAGCAAGCUUGAUUCAACCAAUGCCCAUACUACAGAAGACAAUUGAAUAUCUACUUUCUCUGCUAGAUCAGUCCUAUGAUGAGAGACUUCUUGGUGCAUAUAAAUUCUUGUGGAAUAGAAUGAGAACAAUUCGAAUGAACCUGAGAAUGCAGCAAAUUUUCAAUCAAGGGGGCUAUUACUAUGCUUGAAUACGUACUUUUUUAUUUUUAACAAAAGUAUAAUAAAACCCAAUUUUUCUCUUAUUUAAGUGGACAAAGUUUCAUACCCUAUGAGGAAGACAUCGAGUGAAGGCAUCUUGGUCAUGGUAACCCUACCUUCUUCUCCGGUUGCAGCAUCAGUUUUUGGGGACAUGCCCCGACUCAAUUUGUUUAAAGAGGAGGAGGAAGAAGAAUAGGAGCUAAAUAACUAGCUAGCUAGUAGUGUUCUGUUUGAUUAAGGGUUCUAAAUGAAUGUGUUUGAUAAAACCACUAUGUAUUCAUUUAUCUAUUUUUAUAAUUGUGAAUCAGUUUACUCUUUUUUACAUCACUUUAAUUUU